AGCAAAAUGGGCCAGUACAGAGUUGAACGCGGCGUCCAUUCCUGUAAAAGUGCUAUAGCCAACCUGGAAGGUCGGAGACAAUUUUGGCAUUAAAAAAAUAAAUAAAAAUAAAUAAAAUAAAUUUAAAAAUUUUAGAGCAUUUAGAAUUGUUUAAAAGAAAGUUGCAUAAAAGUGUAGUUACUCUUUAACUCCGAACUCCCUACAGGCAUAUUUAUAAAUGAGCUCAUAAAACAGAGAAUCCAUUUAAGGGCGGGUUCGCACUGGCGUUAAGAUAUUUCGUUACAGGUUCCGUUAUAACGGACUAUAGCAGAAUUUAUAAGAUGGAAAUCAAAACGGAAACCUUUAGAGGCAUUCCGUUUUGAUCCGUCAUAAUACAGGUCCUAUGGUUGACAGGACUUUGUUUUCCGUCCUGCAUAACGGAAAGCAGACAGAUCCGUUAUGCUUGCCCAUAGACUUCUAUUAACGGAACCUAUAGCAGAAUAUCCUAACGCCGGCGCGCACUCGCCCUAACUAAAUGCCCAGGCUCUCAUUAGCAGGUAAAAUAAAGGCUAUGUUUGCAUGGUGGUAGGAAAUACCUCUGAUCACUGUUUAACGUGUACACAGCUCAAUUUUCAUAUUGAUGGGGGUCUGACACCUGGCACCUCUGCCAAUCAGUUGUUUGAAGAGGCUGUAGCGCUCACUGGAGCUCUGGUAAGUGCCAUGGUCUCCAUUGGAUAGCACCUGUGCUCGGUAUCCCAUCUUCACCCAAUUCUCUUGAAUGGGACUAUGCUGCGCCUAGGCCACGUGACUGAUGAACGUGAGGUCACAUAGCCUAGGAAGAGCAUAAGUUCUCAUUGAAGCGACCUCUUCAUACAGCUAAUCAGCGGUGGGGUGGGGGGAACUCCAUCAAACUCAUACUGGAGACCUAUCCUAAGGAUAGGCCAUCAAUAUGGAAAUCCUGUUAAACUGCGCUCACUUUUUUUGUCUGUGUGAUAUCCGUAAACUUUCCUUUGCAAAAAAUGAUUGCAUUAGAA